rnacentral:rRNA from 1 species
CUACGGGUUGCUGCAGUGAGGAAUAUUGCGCAAUGGGGGAAACCCUGACGCAGCGACGCCGCGUGGAUGAUGAAGGCCUUCGGGUCGUAAAAUCCUGUCAGAAGGAAAGAAGUGUAUGGUAGCUAAUAUCUGCCAUACUUGACGGUACCUUCAAAGGAAGCACCGGCUAACUCCGUGCCAGCAGCCGCGGUAAUACGGAGGGUGCAAGCGUUGUUCGGAAUUACUGGGCGUAAAGCGCGCGUAGGCGGUUUUAUAAGUCAGAUGUGAAAGUCCACGGCUCAACCAUGGAAGUGCAUUUGAAACUGUAAGACUUGAGUAUUGGAGGGGGUAGUGGAAUUCCCGGUGUAGAGGUGAAAUUCGUAGAUAUCGGGAGGAAUACCGGUGGCGAAGGCGACUAUCUGGCCAAAUACUGACGCUGAGGUGCGAAAGCGUGGGGAGCAAACAGGAUUAGAUACCCCCGUAGUC